CCCUUAGAUGUUCUGGGCUGCACGCGCGCUACACUGACAUACUCAGCAAGUUUCCUUUCCCGAAAGGGUUGGGUAGUCUUGUUAGUGUAUGUCGUGAUGGGGAUAGAAUAUUGUAAUUAUUGCUCUUUAACGAGGAAUUCCUAGUAAGCGCAAGUCAACAGCUUGCGCUGAUUACGUCCCUGCCCUUUGUACACACCGCCCGUCGCUCCUACCGAUUGGGUGAUCCGGUGAAUGGUUCGGACUCUGGCUAUGCUAGCUACUAGCUACGUCAGGGAAAGUUCUGUGAACCUUAUCACUUGGAGGAAGGAGAAGUCGUANCA
rnacentral:rRNA from 1 species